UACAGAGGGUGCGAGCGUUAAUCGGAAUUACUGGGCGUAAAGCGUGCGCAGGCGGUUUUGUAAGCCAGAUGUGAAAUCCCCGGGCUUAACCUGGGAAUGGCAUUUGGGACUGCAAGGCUUGAGUGCGGCAGAGGAGACUGGAAUUCCCGGUGUAGCAGUGAAAUGCGUAGAUAUCGGGAGGAAUACCGAUGGCGAAGGCAGGUCUCUGGGCUGACACUGACGCUCAUGCACGAAAGCGUGGGGAGCAAACAGG
rnacentral:rRNA from 1 species